rnacentral:rRNA from 1 species
CCUACGGGUGGCAGCAGUGGGGAAUAUUGCACAAUGGGCGAAAGCCUGAUGCAGCAAAGCCGCGUGAGCGAUGAAGGCCUUCGGGUCGUAAAGCUCUGUCCUCAAGGAAGAUAAUGACGGUACUUGUGGACGUAGCCCCAGCAAACUACGUGCCAGCAGCCGCGGGAAUACGUAGGGGGCUAGCGUUAUCCGGAAUUACUGGGCGUAAAGGGUGCGUAGGUGGUUUAUUAAGUCAGAGGUGAAAGGUUGCGGCUCAACCGUAGUAAGCCUUUGAAACUGGGGAACUUGAGUGAACGAGAGGAGAGUGGAAUUCCUGGGGUAGCGGUGAAAUGCGUAGAUAUUAGGAGGAACACCAGUUGCGAAGGCAGCUCUCCGGACUUUAACUGACACUGAGGCACGAAAGCGUGGGUAGCAAACAGGAUUAGAUACCCGGGUAGUC